AACGAACGCUGGCGGCGUGGAUAAGACAUGCAAGUCGAACGGGACAAGUAGCAAUAUUUGUCUAGUGGCGAACGGGUGCGUAACACGUGGGCAACAUGCCUGGAAGAGCGGGAUAGCCCGGGGAAACUCGGAUUAAUACCGCAUGUGACGACGGGGCGGAUUCGCCCUGUUUUCAAAGGUGGGGACCGCAAGGCCUGCCGCUUCCAGAUUGGCCCGCGUCCUAUCAGCUAGUUGGCGGGGUAACGGCCCACCAAGGCGACGACGGGUAGCUGGUCUGAGAGGACGACCAGCCACACUGGAACUGAGACACGGUCCAGACACCUACGGGUGGCAGCAGUCGAGAAUCUUUCACAAUGGGGGAAACCCUGAUGGAGCGACGCCGCGUGGAGGAUGACGGUCUUCGGAUUGUAAACUCCUGUCAUGAAAGAACAAGCGGAGCGGGUGAACAGCCCGCCGAGUUGAUAGUAUUUCAAGAGGAAGGGACGGCUAACUUCGUGCCAGCCGCCGCGGUAACAC
rnacentral:rRNA from 1 species